UUCCUACGGGAGGCUGCAGUAGGGAAUUUUGCGCAAUGGGCGAAAGCCUGACGCAGCAACACCGCGUGAGGGAAGAAGUUCUUUGGAGUGUAAACCUCUGUCAGUGGGGACGAAUUUUGACGGUACCCACAAAGGAAGCAUCGGCUAACUACGUGCCAGCAGCCGCGGUAAGACGUAGGAUGCAAGCGUUGUCCGGAAUUAUUGGGCGUAAAGAGUUCGUAGGCGGCAUGUCAAGUCUGGUGUUAAAGUCCGGGGCUUAACCCCGGUUUCGCACUGGAUACUGGCAAGCUAGAGUGCAGAAGAGGCAAGGGGAAUUCCCAGUGUAGCGGUGAAAUGCGUAGAUAUUGGGAGGAACACCGGUGGCGUAAGCGCCUUGCUGGGCUGUUACUGACGCUGAGGAACGAAAGCCGGGGGAGCAAAUGGGAUUAGAUACCCCAUAGUCCCA
rnacentral:rRNA from 1 species